GACGUAGGGCGCGAGCGUUGUCCGGAUUUACUGGGCGUAAAGAGCGCGCAGGCGGUCGUUCAAGUCGAGUGUGAAAGCCCCCGGCUCAACUGGGGAGGGUCACUCGAUACUGAUCGACUCGAAGGCAGGAGAGGGAAGUGGAAUUCCCGGUGUAGUGGUGAAAUGCGUAGAUAUCGGGAGGAACACCAGUGGCGAAGGCGACUUCCUGGCCUGUUCUUGACGCUGAGGCGCGAAAGCUAGGGGAGCAAACGGG
rnacentral:rRNA from 1 species